GUGAGGAAUAUUGGUCAAUGGGCGAAAGCCUGAACCAGCCAUGUCGCGUGAAGGAUGAAGGUCCUAUGGAUUGUAAACUUCUUUUGCAGGAGGGUAAAGUGAGCUACGUGUAGUUCAUUGCAAGUACCCUGCGAAUAAGCAUCGGCUAACUCCGUGCCAGCAGCCGCGGUAAUACGGAGGAUGCGUGCGUUAUCCGGAUUUAUUGGGUUUAAAGGGUGCGUAGGCGGACUAAUUAGUCAGCGGUGAAAUUUUGCGGCUCAACCGUAAAACUGCCGUUGAAACUGUUAGGCUUGAGUGCGGUAGAGGUAGGCGGAAUGUGUGGUGUAGCGGUGAAAUGCUUAGAUAUCACACAGAACACCGAUUGCGUAGGCAGCUUACUGGAGCGCAACUGACGCUGAGGCACGAAAGCGUGGGGAUCGAACAGGAUUAGAUACCCGAGUAGUCC
rnacentral:rRNA from 1 species